AUGUUCAACCAGUCACCAAUAGCCUAGACGAAGAAAACAGCGCACGAGUUUGUUUACAUGUGGACUAUACAGCAGUUUGGUUGCGGACUUGCAGUAAAGUGAUGCAAUGGGAAAUGAGACUCAUCUUGUUCAUCUUUCUCCUUGAUGGCCUCACAAGUUUCAUCCAAGAAUUGCAUUGUUUAGACAUGACUUGAGUAUUUAUAAUCUCCAUCAUUCCAAAAUCAUGAUAAAGUGUCCAAACACAGAGAAAAACUCCUGAAGCGACUGAUCUCCACACUGUUAUAAAGAU